rnacentral:rRNA from 1 species
UAGACUUGACAUUGAUAGAAUACACCAGAGAUGGAGUAGUGCCUUUCGGGGAACUUGAAAACAGGUGCUGCACGGCUGUCGUCAGCUCGUGUCGUGAGAUGUUGGGUUAAGUCCCGCAACGAGCGCAACCCUCGUCCUUAGUUGCCAGCAGGUUAAGCUGGGCACUCUAAGGAGACUGCCUUCGUAAGGAGGAGGAAGGUGAGGACGACGUCAAGUCAUCAUGGCCCUUAUGGCUAGGGCUACACACGUGCUACAAUGGGGCGUACAGAGUGUUGCGAUACCGCGAGGUGGAGCUAAUCACUUAAAGCGUCUCUCAGUUCGGAUAGCAGUCUGCAACUCGACUGCUUGAAGCUGGAAUCACUAGUAAUCGUAGAUCAGCAAUGCUACGGUGAAUACGUUCCCGGGUCU